UACGUAGGGGCCGAGCGUUGUCCGGAGUUAUUGGGCGUAAAGCGCGCGCAGGCGGCUUGACGCGCCCGACGUGAAAGCCCCCGGCUUAACCGGGGAGGGUCGUCGGGUACGGUCAGGCUUGAGGGCGGGAGAGGGUGGUGGAAUUCCCGGUGUAGUGGUGAAAUGCGUAGAUAUCUGGAGGAACACCGGUGGCGAAGGCGGCAUCCUGGACCGGUAUUGACGCUGAGGAGCGAAAGCCAGGGGAGCAAACGGG
rnacentral:rRNA from 1 species